rnacentral:rRNA from 1 species
GACGAACGCUGGCGGCGUGCCUAACACAUGCAAGUCGAACGAAGUUCUUAUGGAAUGCGGCUUCGGCCAAAUGAAGUUUGAACUUAGUGGCGGACGGGUGAGUAACGCGUGAGCAACCUGCCUUUCAGAGGGGGAUAGCGUUUGGAAACGAACGCUAAUACCGCAUAACGUUGUUUGCUGCAUGACAGAACAACCAAAGGAGCAAUCCGCUGAAAGAUGGGCUCGCGUCCGAUUAGAUAGUUGGUGGGGUAACGGCCUACCGAGUCGACGAUCGGUAGCCGGACUGAGAGGUUGAUCGGCCACAUUGGGACUGAGACACGGCCCAG